CCAUACCUAAAAGAGUUCAUGCAAACAACCUUACGAGAGCGAUCAAAUUCAAAUCUCGUGCAAUGACUUCAAACAGAAAGACUAUUCCUUCUCCUUCCCCCAUUUUUAAGGACAUAUAGUGUCUUGGAUCAGUUUUUGCACGGUAAGUUUUGUUCUUGUGAUGGUAUUAUGAGAUCGAGGCCGAAACUCGGCCAUACCGAAAAUUUCAACGGUAUUGAUGAUUAGCCCAUAGUAUUUAUAACAACGAGCUGGUCGAGACUUUUAAGGUUGAAAAGUACAAACUUCUUCCAUCAAGUCAACAGACAUAUUAGUGAAGGAAGGAGGGAGAAAGAGUGAGAACACACCUCUGAGAAAGCCUGUCCUUGAAGGUAUGGCGAUACGAGGGGUUCCAUCUUAUGACGAUGGUGAGAAACCAGUAAAAAGCGAACCAGAGCUCGGAGAAGAAAGCUCCAAGCCAAGCCAAUUUCUCAGCUGUUUUGGACUCUGGCAAGUGAAGGAUUCUGAAGUAGAAGAUGAAGCAGAUGCUGAUGAAGAUGGAGAGUGUGUAUAAUCUGAAGAUGAAGCGGUUCUUGGCUGACUUUGUUUCAAAGAGAGGAAGAUUACUCUUCUCUCCCAUUCUUUGGUUCUUCUUUUUUCUUUUCCUCCUUUCUGUAUGGCAAGUGUGUGCAGCAAUUAGGCUAUAUUUAUAUAGAAGGCAGUGUCUAGUUUUUUUUU